rnacentral:tRNA from 1 species
GGAGGGCUCGCAUAGUGGCCGAGUGCGGCGGUCUUGAAAACCGCUGGGUGGCAACACCCCGAGGGUUCGAAUCCCUCGCCCUCCG